rnacentral:rRNA from 1 species
UACGUAGGGCGCAAGCGUUGUCCGGAAUUAUUGGGCGUAAAGAGCUCGUAGGUGGUUUGUCGCGUCUGCCGUGAAAGCCCGGGGCUUAACUCCGGGUCUGUGGUAGAUACGGGCAGACUAGGGGCAGGUAGGGGAGAACGGAAUUCCCGGUGUAGCGGUGAAAUGCGCAGAUAUCGGGAGGAACACCCAGGGGGAAACCAGCCGACUGGGCAUCUGCUGACGCUGAGGUGCGAGAGCGUGGGGAGCGAACCGG